CCCUCAGGAGCAGACUCCGCCUGUCAGGGUUUAUAUAACCCGAGUCUCUUGUGCCCUUCUCCAUAACAGAGUCGAAAGCGUCGACCGGAGAACGUAGAGAGAGGAGAGAGAGAGAGAGAGAGAGAGAGAGAGAGAGAAACGAGUGCCGCCAUGGGAGGAACACCGAUACGCCAGCGUUGAUGCCUCGGGGGCAGGCCAGGGUGCAUCAACGAGGUGCGCUGACGGUGCUCGAUCGGGUCUCGCCGGGCAGAGCUGUGGGUCGGGCGUACGGGAAUUGCUCGCUGUCGCCUGUCGACCAACGUCGGCUCGGUUCCGCGCCGUGCCGCUGUUAGCACCGCCAACGCCCCGCAUGCCGGAUGAAGGCGGUUCGUCCGGCGGCGCUCGUGCGAGUAGAUUGGUGGCGGCGCGUGUGCGAGCAUAACAGCCGUGUUAUCAAAGGUGAUGAAUAGAAUAGCUGAGGUGAUCGAGCUGGUGGCCGCAGCAAAUCCCAGCCCCGGAACUCAUUGCUUAGCAUCGGAAGCAAAGCAAUCCAGGACACUGGGUCUAGCUCCUGAUGCUUUGACAGCAGUAGUGGAACACUGACCUACACUUGCUCCUAUCUUUGUUUGCUUGGUCGGCCCGAGAUAUAUGCUCUCUUUUUAGAGACGACUGCAAAAGUUAGGUCGUCGACACUACGACUGUAGAUGACCAAACGGAUUGCACGGUAUGACAUUAACACUGAUGUCAUAAAGCACAACACUAAUAGACACGAUUAGUAAUCGUAUCGUGUCGUGCCAGCACUAAUGUCUAGCCAUCGGCCCAGACACGCGACACUAUGUGCC